CUCUCUCUUGCGCUUCUGCUGCUUUGCUGCGUCCGCGGCCACCUCUGAAGAUAUCUCGGCGAACUCACUUUCCCAUCCUUCAGCUGUGUCAACGGACACAUUGGUUUGAUUCGGCGCUCUUCUGCCAAUAGUUCCGGGCUUUUCGGUCCACACUUUGUAUCUGAUGGCUUUUUCUGCUUUUUCUGUUCAUUCUGUCUAUUGAUUGCUGGCCAGAUUCCCAGGACCAAGACGCCAAAGUCCAGUGUUGCUUUCUGGCGUAGUCUGAGGCUUCACUGCCUUUCAAAGCGUUGUCCCUGUCCUCUCUGGCGAGGCCUCGGUUGGACUGAGCCCGAGGUUAUUUCUUUUUUUUAUGCUUCAUAUGCCUACUCUUUCACUGGCGUUCAAGCUCGAAGCUCAUCGAGCCCCAGAGUUGGCUGCCUUGGAUUGCAGUUCAGGAGUUGAUCGACGAGUAGUAUCUGGUCACAGGGAGGAAGGCAUUCAUGGUCUUGCUGUCCACCGAGGCAGCCAACGAUGGGACGGUGUAUGGGAAUCAUGACGGGACAUCUUGCGCGAUAUCAUCGCAACAUGUCUUGGUCAUGUCCUCUACGGGCUUUUAUCGAGGACGCAGUUGAGGGCUUUCGAUGCGAUCAUCUUUAUUGAGGUCGAUCACAGUCAACAUUGGCAAUCCCUUACUCGGACCAACUUCUCUGCCACCCGGGAGAUUGGGGACGGGAAGGUUCAAAGGUAACACGUUUCAUUUCCUCAUUUUAGCUCUCAGAAUGGGCCUCUUAUCCCCCAUGUUUACUAUAUGACCCCCUCUGAGGUGGAUGUACUUGUCGAAUUCUAUAGAUGGCCGGCCCUGUGCUUCUGCCUCUUCUUACAGGCAUCGUCCCAUUCUCUAUACCUCUAGUUCUCUGAAUACCUAUCAAUCUUCAAACCAAAUCAUGAAAGC